UACGAAGGGGGCUAGCGUUGCUCGGGAAUCACUGGGCGUAAAGCGCACGUAGGCGGAUCUUUAAGUCAGGGGUGAAAUCUUGGAGCUCAACUCCAGAACUGCCUUUGAUACUGGGGGAUCUCGAAGUCCGGAAGAGGUGAGUGGAACUCCGAGUGAGAGGUGAAAUUCGUAGAUAUCGGAAGAACACCAGUGGCGGAAGGCGGCUCACUGGUCCGGUACUGACGCUGAGG
rnacentral:rRNA from 1 species